rnacentral:rRNA from 1 species
GAGCACGUAGGUGGGUUUGUAAGUCAGACGUGAAAGCCUUCUGUUCAACGGAAGAAUUGCAUCUGAAACUACAAACCUUGAGUGUAGGAGGGGAGAAUGGAACUUCUGGUGGAGCGGUGAAAUGCGUAGAUAUCAGAAGGAACGCCGGCGGCGAAAGCGAUUCUCUGGCCUAUUACUGACACUCAGUGUGCGAAAGCUAGGGGAGCAAACGGGAUUAGAUACCCCGGUAGUCCUAGCCGUAAACGAUGGGCACUAAGUAGAGGGAAUUACCGAUGUUCUCUCUGCCGUAGCUAACGCAUUAAGUGCCCCGCCUGGGGAGUACGGCCGCAAGGCUAAAACUCAAAAGAAUUGACGGGGGCUCGCACAAGCGGUGGAGCAUGUGGCUUAAUUCGAUGCAACGCGAAAAACCUUACCGGGGCUUGACAUGGUAGAAGUAGGAACCCGAAAGGGUAACGAACGGUAUCCAGUCCGUGACUAUCACAGGUGUUGCAUGGCUGUCGUCAGCUCGUGUCGUGAGACGUUGGGUUAAGUCCCCUAACGAGCGAAACCCUUGUUUUUAGUUGCCAGCGGGCUGUGCCGGGCACUCUAGAAAGACUGCCGUCGUCAAGACGGAGGAAGGUGGGGAUGACGUCAAGUCAUCAUGGCCCUUAUGCCCCGGGCUGCACACGUGCUACAAUGGCCGGUACAAACGGAAGCGAAGCCGAGAGGUGAAGCGAAUCC